UUUAUAGCCAGAGAUUGCCAAGAUGACAUGGUUAAUGCAAAAUUUAAGGUAUGGUCAUCGAUAGCUACGUUACUACGUCAAUGUUUAGAUAAGAAAAUCAGAGAAGAGGUUGAGGAAUGUUGUCAAAUUAUAGAUGAAACUGACAAUGAUAAUUUCCAGCAA